GAUGAAGAACGCAGCGAAAUGCGAUAAGUAAUGUGAAUUGCAGAAUUCAGUGAAUCAUCGAAUCUUUGAACGCACCUUGCACCCUUUGGCAUUCCGAAGGGUAUGCUCGUUUGAGUGUCAUUGUACUCUCACACUCUCCGAUCCUAUGGAUUCGGGGAGCGGUGGACUUGGGUGUUGCUGCCUUUCCUUGUGGCUCACCUCAAAUGUGUCAGUGCACCUCUUGAUUGGACAUAGUACGGCGUGAUAAGUGUCUUCGCCGGCACCUCGCAAGAGGGUGGCCGAUCGGGAGCUCUGUGCUUUCAAACCGUCUUCGGACAAUUUCUGACAACUUGACCUCAAAUCGAGUAGGACUACCCGCUGAACUUAAGCAUAUCAAUAAGCGGAGGA
rnacentral:misc_RNA from 1 species